rnacentral:rRNA from 1 species
GCCACACGUACACGUACACGUAGGAGACGUCUGCACCUUCCUUUAAUUCCUCUUCCUUUCUAUUCCCCUCCGCUGGCCAUCUCCCCAACGAACGCCUCGUCUCCUUCCCUUCCUCUGUACGCUAGCACCUACAGGAAGAUAAACAUACACAACGAGAAACUGCCAAGCAAUCACACAAGAAGCUGCCUCCUGUCCUCCUCCAUAAUUCCCAUAAGUGUCCACCGGUUCCAAAACUGAAGGUACAGGGACCUGCGCCUCAAUCUCCUCCCUCGUUUCCCUUAGCCCUCUUCCAUCUCUCUUCUCCGUCCUCCCAGAGAACUCCUCCCAAAGAAACAGUGUUCCAUUUACAUCGGAACUUGAUUCUGAUGAAGGAGACCAUCCCAGUCCAUGCCCUUGCGCCAAAAGGUUCUCUUUCAUGCGUUGAAUCCAUUCAGGGAGGAAAGAAAGCGAUCCGUGGACCACACGCGCAGAAUUUCGCAUGUCAGUCUACACUGUUCGUCGAGUUCUUCGCGUCGUUCUGUCAAACAUGGGAUUGACGACGGUGUUGGACAUGGACAGAAACAGGUUACCGAAGAAGGACUCAACAACGAAGAGAUCUAUGAAGACAAGGGCGUCGACUACGAUUAUUAUGAUGAUCCUGAGGAGUGAGGACACAUUGACUACAUCGACUGCCUGUGGCUGAGAUGGAGUUGCUACGCGUUAUAUAUUCCACUAUGUUUCUGAUUGUAAUAAAUGUCUUGAGACAUUCCAGUAUGUAUGCCUUGUGGGAAGAGUUGUUAAACUUAUACUUAUUUUAAUGUUCCGCAAUGAUACCAUUUCAC